rnacentral:rRNA from 1 species
UGGGGAAUAUUGCACAAUGGGCGAAAGCCUGAUGCAGCGACGCCGCGUGAGGGAUGACGGCCUUCGGGUUGUAAACCUCUUUCAGCAGGGAAGAAGCGAGAGUGACGGUACCUGCAGAAGAAGCGCCGGCUAACUACGUGCCAGCAGCCGCGGUAAUACGUAGGGCGCAAGCGUUGUCCGGAAUUAUUGGGCGUAAAGAGCUCGUAGGCGGCUUGUCACGUCGAUUGUGAAAGCCCGAGGCUCAACCUCGGGUCUGCAGUCGAUACGGGCUGGCUGGAGUGUGGUAGGGGAGAUCGGAAUUCCUGGUGUAGCGGUGAAAUGCGCAGAUAUCAGGAGGAACACCGGUGGCGAAGGCGGAUCUCUGGGCCAUUACUGACGCUGAGGAGCGAAAGCGUGGGGAGCGAACA